rnacentral:tRNA from 1 species
GCCUGACUGGUUCAGUUGGUAGAGUGUGUGACUCUUGAUCUCAGGGUUAUGAGUUUGAGCCCCAUGUUGGGUA